UUAAGUUUCCCUGUCAAACCUCACGCCCAAACUCAAAGCGAAACCUCACGCCUAAAAUCAAAGAAAUCGAUCUCUCUAUCUAGCUCUUCUAAUGCCGGUGACAGUUCCACGCCGACGAUAGUCGAUCCCUCCACCAACCUCCAUAAAAUCCACCAGAGUCUCACCAAAAAUACCCCAUAAACUUUAUCUCCUCCACAAUAAAAAAUCACCUCCUUCAAUCAAUUUGAUCCGUACAAUAAUUUUAGGAUUUUUUCUCGAUUAAGCUCGGCUAACACUUCAAGUUCUCAUAGAUCCCUAAUUCUAGGCAAAAUAUGACAUCCUCGAGGAUGCGAAAACAUGGGUUUUUCAUUCAAUUCAGGUAGCUUGGAGAAAUUAUAAGAAUCAAUUGAAGAAAGAUCACUUUGAAGCGUAUCCGAAUGACGAGCUACGAAUGAAGAAUAGACCGGUAGAUGUUUCGGAAACUCACUCUAAGGAUUUGCUUAACUAUUGGAACUCCGAUUCCCACAAGGCACAAAAGUAAUGGGACAUGAAUAUCCAAGUCACGAAAUAUUGUAUGGACUUGGGUUUACCAAGAUCGUCUUAAAAAGAAAAAUGGAAGAUUUUGGACCCUCUCUACAUAUGAGAGGAUGCAACAAAAAAUGGAGAAAAUGAAAGAGAGGAUGCAACAAAGACUGCAGAAAGAAUUUAAUGCACAAAAGGAUGCUAUGGAACAAGAAAUUACACUUAAUGUCGUUGCACAUCAUCGACAUUUGAAUACAGAAUCGAAUUGAUCCGAACAUACUAAAUUUUAAUGCUCCUUCACCUAGAGAAGUUUCAUCUGCACGACAAAAUGCUAUUCAAUUCAACGAAUCAAGCGCAUGUCUACUAGUAGUAACAAUCAAGGUGAAUAAAAUGCAAAAGGGAAGACGAAGACAGGAACGAUCUAGAGGUAACUUAAGAAAAUUCUUGAAUUAUUGCUGGAAUUUAGAUGUUUCAGGAAUAUUGUUAUGGAAUAUUUUGAAGCUUAUGUUAACUCUUGAAUUGUAAAAUUUAUGCACUUGGGUUUGAACAUUUUGCUUUGAUGGAUAUUAAUAUAUAGCUUGUUGGACAAUUA